GGUGAGUAACAUAUCGGAACGUAUCCAAUAAUGGGGGAUAACUAAUCGAAAGGUUGGCUAAUACCGCAUACGCCCUACGGGGGAAAGCUAGGGACCUUCGGGCCUGGCGUUAAUGGAGCGGCCGAUAUCUGAUUAGCUAGUUGGUGGGGUAAAGGCCCACCAAGGCGACGAUCAGUAGCUGGUCUGAGAGGACGACCAGCCACACUGGAACUGAGACACGGUCCAGACUCCUACGGGAGGCAGCAGUGGGGAAUUUUGGACAAUGGGCGCAAGCCUGAUCCAGCCAUUCCGCGUGAGUGAAGAAGGCCUUCGGGUUGUAAAGCUCUUUCGCAAGGCAAGAAAACUUACCCUCUAACAUAGGGUGAGGUUGACGGCCCUUGAUAAGAAGCACCGGCUAACUACGUGCCAGCAGCGCGCGGUAAUACGUAGGGAGCGAGCGUUAAUCGGAAUUACUGGCCGUAAAGCGUGUACAGGCGGCUUUGUAAGUCAGAUGUGAAAUCCCCGAGCUCAACUUGGGAACUGCGUUUGAGACUACAAGACUCGAAUAUGUCAGAGGGGGCGUAGAAUUCCACGUGUAGCAUUGAAAUGCGUAGAGAUGAAGUCGCAAUAUCCAAUGGUCGAAGGCAGCCUCUGGACAUAAUAUUAGACGCUCAUGCACGAAAGCGUGGUGAGCAAACAGGAUUAGAUACCCUGCUAGUCCACGCUCUUAAACGAUGUAUACUAGUUGUUGAUGUCGUAAAAUCCAUUUAGCGCCGCAGCCUCACGCGUCGAGGAGACCGCCUGGAGAGUACAGUCCGCAAGUAUCA
rnacentral:rRNA from 1 species